GCUUACGGCCACACCGCCUGGUUCACGGAUCUCGCUUUGAUCUCGGAAGCUAAGUAGGUUGGGCCUGGUUAGUACUUGGAUGGGAGACCGCCUGGGAAUACCAGGUGCUGUAAGCU
rnacentral:rRNA from 1 species